CCUACGGGUGGCAGCAGUGGGGAAUAUUGGGCAAUGGGCGCAAGCCUGACCCAGCAACGCCGCGUGAAGGAAGAAGGCUUUCGGGUUGUAAACUUCUUUUCUCAGGGACGAAGCAUGUGACGGUACCUGAGGUAUAAGCCACGGCUAACUACGGGCCAGCAGCCGCGGCAAUACGUAGGCGGCAAGCGUUAUCCGGAUUUACUGGGUGUAAAGGGCGUGUAGGCGGGGACGCAAGUCAGAUGUGAAAACCACGGGCUCAACCUGUGGCCUGCAUUUGAAACUGUGUUUCUUGAGUACUGGAGAGGCAGGCGGAAUUCCUAGUGUAGCGGUGAAAUGCGUAGAUAUUAGGAGGAACACCAGUGGCGAAGGCGGUCUGCUGGACAGCAACUGACGCUGAGGCGCGAAAGCGUGGGGAGCAAACAGGAUUAGAUACCCCUGUAGUC
rnacentral:rRNA from 1 species